rnacentral:rRNA from 1 species
GUGCAGCAGUCGAGAAUACUUUACAAUGCGGGAAACCGUGAUAAGGGAACCUCGAGUGCUGGCGCAUAGCGUCGGCUGUCCAGAUGCCUAAAAAGCAUCUGAUAGCAAGGGCCGGGCAAGACCGGUGCCAGCCGCCGCGGUAACACCGGCGGCUCGAGUGGUGGCCACGUUUAUUGGGUCUAAAGCGUCCGUAGCCGGCUCGGCAAGUCCCCUGGGAAAUCUGGCGGCUCAACCGUCAGGCGUCCAGAGAAUACUGCUGGGCUUGGGA